ensembl:miRNA MIR6691-2 microRNA 6691-2
AAAUCCAUCUCCUUGUUGUAGUGCAUGAUGAACCUGCUGAGCUGCUGCUGCUGCUGAGGCGGGCAGCAUGGAGGGAGAUGGAUGAUUAAGUGAUGAUUAAACCUUUCUGG